ensembl:lncRNA
AUGGGCGUGGCGAGGGCGGGUUGGACGGCUAAGCGCGCAGCACACGUUUACACUAGGAGAAAAAAACUCAAGUGCCCCCGGGCGACCUUCUCUCGCGGCCUUCCGCUUCCGCAGGAAAGUGCGCACGCGUGGAUUCCGAGGCGGAAUUUCCGGGUCGUGGGUUGGGCGGAUUGCUGCAGGCGAGGGGCGGGGCGAGGAGCGUCCCAGUCUACAGCGAGAGCAAGGCGGGGCAAGGUGCAGCCUCCUGGAAAUUGUGAGGAUUUGGGUCACUUUGCACUCCCCCUCCGGAUGCCAGGAAAACAUGCACUGCGCACAGUGGAGAAGAGGAAGCUGACUGGUUCCUUGGACCAGAGGCGCUGCUGUGGCGGGGCUCCACACCGCCAUGCCUGCAGAGGCGGCCGGCCUUCCCAGCUGGAAGGCCAAACUCCACAUGGCUCAGUUCCAGAGACACAAGGUCAAAACCUACAGUCUGAGACUGGAGGACUAAGGUUUUUUCUCAGGCAUCCUGCAGAGGUUGAUACUGAAAGUUGA